rnacentral:tRNA from 1 species
GGCGAGAUAGCUCAGCUGGCAGAGCAAGCGGCUCAUAUCCGCUCGGUCGUGGGUUCAACCCCCUCUCUCGCUA